GAUUUUCCUGGAUAGUUUCAGUUUAGGUUCUCUGUGUCCUGUCUUGAGUGAGCAUUGCCUUUAUCAUUCAGUUACAGUGAAACAACAAGAACUAUGGCUCAGGGAGUAUUCCUCUAUGUGGAAUGGGCUCCCAAAGUCCACAACUAUGCUAGGGAUAAGUACUGAACUACCACAGGAGGUCCUGUAGAUAUCCCUGGUUUCCUCACUGAAACCCUGGCAUCUGGAUCAGUCCCAUGCUGGUAUCCCAACUAACAGUCUGGGGACCAAGAGCUCCCCUAUAUUCAGGUCAGGUCUUUCUGUGUGUUUCAUCAGCCUGGUUUGGACCCCUUUGCUCAUCACUUGUCCUUCUCUGCAACUGGACAUGGUCUCCUGGAGAAGGGGAAAGGGACAAGAUCUCCUGAGCAAAUUGGGAACCCAGGAAGAGGGGGUAGGGAGCUAGGAGAAUGAGAAGGGAAGAAGAGCAGGGGUGAGGAGGACAUGAGAGACAGAAAGGUUGAGUUGGGGGAAGAAUAGAAGAAAACAAGAAUGGAGAUACCAUAAUAGAGGGAGACAUUUUAGGUUUACAGAGAAAUUGGGCACUAGGGAGAUCUACAAAGAUGACACCAGCUAACAAUCUAAGCAACAGAGGAGAGGCUACCUUAAAUGCCCUCCCCUGAUAAUGAGACUGAUGACUGAUAUAUGCCAUCCGAUAGCCUUUAUACAGCAGUUGGCAGAAGUAGAAGCAGACACCCAUAACUAACAUGUCAAAUUUUAAUAUUGUUUUCCAUACCAAUUUGUUUUAUAACACCAAUUGGUAAUCCCUGAAUCAUACAAAUUAUAGUACAGUCUGUACAGGUUACACUUAGAUAUGUGUGUGUUCGUGUGUGUGUGUGUGUGUGUGUGUGUGUGUGUGUGUGUGUGUGUGUGCAUAAAACAAUAAUAAAAAGAGGCCUUGAAUCUGAAAGAGGACAAGGAGAGGUACUUGGGAGGGUUUGGUGGGAGGAAAGAGAAGGGGGAAAUGACAAAUUAUACUAUAUUCUCAAAAAUAAAGAUAACUAACAUUUAUUUUGAAAAUUGUGUUUUAAUUUUGCUUUCAAUUUCAAGGAAGACAUUUUAUCAUUUUGAAAUACAAAAUAUUUGUGAUCUUAAAACACCCUUACAGUAUUAUUUCAUGAUAAUCAAGGGGAAAAAAGUGCUCAACUGUGUGAAUGUAUGUGUGUGAGUGUGUGUGAGAGUGUGUGAGUUUGUGUGUGUGUUGGUGUGUGAGCACGUGUGUUUGUGUGUGUAUGAGUGUUGUGUGAAUGUGUUUAACUUGGGUGACUGGUAUAGGCACUUAAGAAGCUGUCUUGUUAUAGUUCAUAGUGCCACCCGUUCGUAUCUCUAGAUAUAUUUUGUUUGGCAGGCCCUGGGAUUCAUGGAAGGUGAAGUCCAAGCUUCUAAAACUAUGCCUUAGAAUCAAAUGCCUUAGAUCACACCUUGCACGAUGCAAGAGAGCCUGACCCUUCAUAGAGUGUUCAGCCUUUUCUACAGGCAUCAGCAGGUUGUUUUUUGAUCUCUUACUGGUUGGGACUAGAGACUGAGACUUCAAUAAUAGACUCCUCAAUAAGACAAUCCACAGCAAAGCUGGGAGACAUCCAGACCAACACACAUGCAAAUUGGAACACAAGAACAUUAAAGAACAAAUUUCCCUGUAAGACUUCUUAACAGUGAAGGAUUACUACACUGAAGAAUGAAGGGAGUUCCAUAGUUUCGUGGAUGGAGACUUAUCUGAUCUCAGCGAGGGAAAGCAAAGACCAGACUGUGAGAUCUUCAACUUUACAGAAAUGCUCAGACCAUGUUACUAGGUAACAAAGGAGCUUCCAUUCAUGGGUUUCUCUGUUGCUUUGGAGCCUAUCCUGGAACCAGCUCUUGCAGACCAAGCUGAUCUCGAACUCACAGAGAUCCAACUGUCUUUGCCUCCCAAGUGCUGGGAUUAAAGGCGUUUGCCCAUACUACCCUGCUAUUCCUGACUCUUGAUAACAGCCAUAAAGACAGAGAAUGGACAAACAGUCCUGUUAAAGUAAGCACUGGACUUUUCCAAGAUUUUUAUAUUGUUCCCUAAAUUAUCUUUGCAGGGAAAACUCUACAAGGUUUUAUUUUCCCAUGUCUUAAGCACAAAACUGAAACCUAGGGCUCUUAAGUAAAUUAAGAGUUUUAGCUUAGUUCUGGCUGAAACAGAUGUUAUGUGCCCUUUGAUGAAAAUGCUUCUUAUGGAUACAACAUCAGGAUUGGGUGAUGGCUCAGUGGAGGAUUUCUUUCCUAGUGUUUGCAACAUUGGUUGGUAUCCCCAGCACUGCAAAAAUAAAUAAAUAAAUAAAUAAAUAAAUAAAUAAAUAAAUAGAUCUCAUGAUAGAAAUAAAUAACUUCAGUACUGAUAAAUCAGUAACAGAGUUGUAAAAGAAACCCAGAAGCCUAUAAGAAUUCAAAAUAAUAAACGUCACCUUCCAAAGAGCAGCUUUUAACUUCAUGUUAUUCCCUUCUCUAAUUAAAUUUCCCCUGCACAUUAAAAAAGUUUUCGGAAUAGUAAUUAUAGAUAUUUUCCUUUGGUUAGAACAUCUCCCAUUCUUUAAAGAAGAUAUGGGUAAUCUUGAAAAUGACUGACAAAUAUUUUUAUCCUUCAUACCUUUAUAAAAAGGUGAUGUCUAGACAUAUGGAUAGAAUAUACAUGACACAUAUCUUAGCUAAUU
ensembl:lncRNA